AGAGUUUGAUCAUGGCUCAGAACGAACGCUGGCGGCAUGCCUAACACAUGCAAGUCGAACGAGACCUUCGGGUCUAGAGGCGGCACGGGUGCGUAACGCGUGGGAAGUCUGCCCUUGGGUUCGGAAUAACAGCGAGAAAUUGCUGCUAAUACCGGAUGAUGACGUAAGUCCAAAGAUUUAUCGCCCAAGGAUGAGCCCGCGUAGGAUUAGCUAGUUGGUGAGGUAAAGGCUCACCAAGGCGACGAUCCUUAGCUGGUCUGAGAGGAUGAUCAGCCACACUGGGACUGAGACACGGCCCAGACUCCUACGGGAGGCAGCAGUGGGGAAUAUUGGACAAUGGGCGAAAGCCUGAUCCAGCAAUGCCGCGUGAGUGAUGAAGGCCUUAGGGUUGUAAAGCUCUUUUACCCGGGAUGAUAAUGACAGUACCGGGAGAAUAAGCUCCGGCUAACUCCGUG
rnacentral:rRNA from 1 species